rnacentral:rRNA from 1 species
ACGGGUGCGUAACGCGUAUACAAUCUGCCUUUCACAUAGGGAUAGCCCGAAGAAAUUUGGAUUAAUACCUAAUGGCAUAUAGGGAUGGCAUCAUUUUUAUAUUAAAGCUGAGGCGGUGAAAGAUGAGUAUGCGUUCUAUUAGCUAGUUGGAGAGGUAACGGCUCCCCAAGGCGACGAUAGAUAGGGGUUCUGAGAGGGAUAUCCCCCACACUGGUACUGAGAUACGGACCAGACUCCUACGGGAGGCAGCAGUGAGGAAUAUUGGACAAUGGUCGGAAGACUGAUCCAGCCAUGCCGCGUGCAGGAAGACGGCCUUAUGGGUUGUAAACUGCUUUUGCAGGGGAAGAAUAAGGAGUACGUGUACUUUGAUGACGGUACUCUGCGAAUAAGCAUCGGCUAACUCCGUGCCAGCAGCCGCGGUAAUACGGAGGAUGCGAGCGUUAUCCGGAAUCAUUGGGUUUAAAGGGUCCGUAGGCGGGCUAAUAAGUCAGAGGUGAAAGCGCUCAGCUCAACUGAGCAACUGCCUUUGAAACUGUUAGUCUUGAAUGGUUGUGAAGUAGUUGGAAUGUGUAGUGUAGCGGUGAAAUGCUUAGAUAUUACACAGAACACCGAUAGCGAAGGCAUAUUACUAACAAUUAAUUGACGCUGAUGGACGAAAGCGUGGGGAGCGAACAGGAUUAGAUACCCU